UCCUCCCUUUAUUAUUAUCUUUUCAAAUUUUUGUUGAAAUCAUCUUUAUUUAUUGUUUCAAAAUUUGUUUUGAUAAGUAUUUUGUGAUUGGUCCGUGUUCAUUUGGUCAGAUCGACCCAAGAGGGCUAGAUCUGGCCGUUUAUUCAUUGAUUAUCGAUCUGAACUGUUGGUUUGGUGUUUUAACUUCGUCCCACAUCGAUGUUUGUUGGUUGUGGUCUAAAUUUUGGGGUUCUAUAUAUAAGAACCCCAGUCUUUGCACAAAGAGGAUCGUGUUUUUGAAAACAAUCGAAAACUGGAAAAUAGUGAGGAAUAAGGUUUAAGAAUAGAGUUUCAGAAAAGGAAAGUGAAAAACUUGGAAUUUUCUUUCAAGAAACUUUCCAGUAAAAUAAUUUUGAAGCCUAAAUGAAAGGGGUUAGGCAUUAGUUAAAAAUUUGGUUCUUAUUUGCUUUAUUUUCUUUGUGUGGCUAAGUCUGUUGGUUUGGAAGCACAAGAGGCUAUCAAAUCCAUUCUUCCCUUGGAUGUGCAUAUAAAAGAUAGUGAGGACUAGUGCUAAGGCAGCCGUUGAUGAGGCACUCGAAGCGGUCGCUGGGGCUGUAGUUCGUGGUAGAGGACAAGUCAGAGGUCAUGGACACAGUAGAGGCCAGGGAGCAGCACCAGCCAAGGGCGGGGCUUCUGCGGCUGGUCAGGCUUGUGCUAGAUCAGUUUCCCUCGCGCCUCCGGCAGUUCCGGAUGAGGGGGCAGAGUUUGCAGCGGCACCAGUUCAGCCAGAUAUUAUAGCUACUCCAGUGUUAUCAGAUGUUAUGGUUCGUGUGUUGAACCUGCUGAACGGAUUGACUGAGGUAGGUGAUACACUCAAAUUACACCUUUUAAUAGCGUAAAACGGAUGAUGUCAAAUAUAGUAACCCAACAAGGUUGAGGUCGAAUCGCACAGAGAAUAUGGUAUGAAAAGUUUGCUAAAUAAGUAUUAUACUAAUCUUGCGGUCCUGGUAUAUUCCAGAAAAAGGGUUGUAUAAGAGUUUUAGUUUGUGGACUAAUUUAAAGUGACUAGUAAUUUAAAGUUGUAAAUAUAUGGGUAAAAAGAACUAAGGUUGUGUUCCCGUCAGAUGAAGUGUAUGAUCAUGAGUCUUGAUCUUGAUAUACUUCUAAUGGAUCGUUUGUAUGGAUGUACUUAACCUCUAUGUGAAUCUAGACUAUUUCCCAAUAAGAGAAGAUUAUUUCUUUCUAUACUUUUUCCAAAGAUAAGAAAGUAUGCAUGAAGAACGGUUAAUUAUGCCAAAUAGAUUCCUCUUAUCCUAAGUGAAUUUAUUAAACAAGGUUUAAAGCCUUGAGUUUUUGUUAUUUGUUCUUACCAAACCCUAUUUAUUUUUCCAAAUAAACCAAAGUUUAUGGCGUUAGCUAAUGUUUGCAAACACUAACUAUAUGAUGAAAACGAAGAACAAAUAAACCCUAACAAUCCAUUAUGUGUAUAUCAAUCACAAAAUCCCAAUGACAAAACACCCAUCCUUGGGUUCACAACCUUAGUCGAGAAAUUUAGCAAGAAGAAGAAGAACAAUAAUAAAUAAUUGAGAUCAUAAUGCUUACGAAUGAUUGAUUGGAAUUGAAGAGAAAAUAAUUGCAAUUGUUUGUAAUCCCAAAAAGACUUCAAAAACUAUGAGUAUUCAAUGCUAAGGAAAUAAAAUUUAAAUAUGGUGAAUUGCAGCCUACAGGAAACCUACAUCAGGUAUUUAUAAGAGUCUAAGUCAUGAAAAACACAUUUACAAAAUUGCCCCCGACGGAUCAACAUACGGACCAUAAAUAUUAUAUGGUCCGUAAAAUUUGCAAAUCUUGUCCGUUAAACCUUCUUCUGCCGCCUAGAUCUACGCUCCUUUUUUACGGACCGUAAAUAUUUUACGGUCUGUAUAAUUGGUCCAUACAUUCUUCUUUCAAUUGAGAAUUUUUUGUAACUGAUCUAUGGUGGGAUUUACGGACCGUAAAUAAUGUACGGUCCAUACUUUAUGCCGUGAAUCCCUUCUUCAGGUCUGAGACCUCUCUGUCACUGAGCUACGGUUGAAUUGACGGACCGUAAAUAUUAUACGGUCCGUCUUUUGCUUCGUAAAAUCCAAGCUUAAGUUAUUUUUCUUUCUUGAACAUCUCUUUAAGCCAUUUUCACGACUUGCACCCAAAACACGUUAAAUACCUGCAACAUAACACAAACACAUUAAAAGACCCAAACUUGAUUGAAAAAUAAGUAAAACUCGCUGUAAAAAAACAUCAAAUGUGUCGGAAUUUCGCGACACAUCAGCUGGUGUAUUAUCGGCUACUCCAAAUAGCCAGGAUGUGAGAUUAGCUGACCAGAUUCCUAACAAAUUUCGUGCUCCAGGAGCAUAACACGCAGCAGUUGUGGCUCCACAUGUGGAUGAGACUCCAGGAUCGGAUAUUUUCGCUAGACCAGUGGCAGGCUCGGUGAUGACCGGUGAGGAGCAUGAUCUAUUUUGGAGGUUCACAAAGAUAAAGCCUCCCGUCUUCUAUGCCAUAGCGUCCGAGGAUGUUUAUGAGUUUAUUAUUGAUUGUCAUGAGAGGUUCUACAAGUUGGGGGCGAUUGAGAGCCAUGGCGUAGAGUUUGUGACCUUCCAGCUUUUAGGUGAUGCGAAGUUAUGAUGGAGAGCUUAUGUGGAGUGUAGACUAGCUGGGUUGUCUCUGUUAACUGGUUCAAUUUUAUUCAGUCUUUUUGAAGAAGUACGUUUCGCGUACUUUGAGGGAUAGGUGGCGUGACGAGUUCAGUCACAUCGAGCAGGGGAGUUCUUCAGUUGCUGCUUAUGAGGCCCGUUUUCACUCUCUGUCAUGUUAUGAUGUACAGUGGUUGCCUACUGAGGCUGAAAGAGUUCGUAGGUUUGUGAAAGGGUUGAACACUGCUUUACAGUUGCCAGAUCUUCAACUUCUAGCUUCACGAGCUUCUUUUCAGGAUGUGGUGGAUCAUGUCACCACAGUUGAGGGUGUGAGACAGGACAACUAUGGCAAGUAGGCAGAUAAGAAGGCCCGCAAGGGUGGUAGCUUUAGUGGUACGUUCUCUCAAGGGCAGGGUCAGCAGGGGCAGAGUUCCCAGGUUUAUUCGGGUCGUCCUAUCCAGUCGGCUAUGCAGGUUUCUAUUGGAGGGCCAUCAGGGGUCGGUCAUUACUCUUCGAGUCAGCCAGGGGGUAAUAUUUCAUAUUUUUUUACCAGUGCUGACGUUCCAUCACUUGAGUCGGUCCUCGUAGUAUGCGAGUUCGCGGAGGUGUUUCCCACAGACUUGUCGGGUAUGCCACUCGAUCGUGAUAUUUAUUUCUGUAUUGACUUGGAAUCGGAAACUCGCCCUAUUUCUAUUCAGUCGUAUCGGAUGGCGCCAGCCGAGUUGAGAGAGUUGAAAGAGCAGCUUCAGGAUCUUCUUAGCAAGAGAUUCAUUAGACCAAGCGUCUCCCCUUAGGGCGCUCUUGUGCUUUUUGUGAAGAAGAAAAAUCGGACUAUGCGGAUGUGCAUUGAUUACCGCCAGUUGAACAAAGUCACCAUUCGAAACAAGUACCACAUUCCUCUUAUUGAUGAUCUAUUUGACCAGCUUCAGAGGGCUUCUGUGUUUUCCAAGAUUGAUUUGAGGUCAGGUUAUCACCAGCUGAAGAUCUGAGCCGAAGAUAUUCCUAAGAUAGCCUUUCGAACUCGGUAUGGGCACUACGAGUUUAUUGUCAUGUCAUUUGGGCUUAGCAAUUCCCCAGCUGCUUUCAUAGACUUGAUGAAUGAGAUUUUUAAGCCAUACUUAAAUUCCUCUAUGAUCGUGUUCAUUGAUGAUAUAUUAGUUUACUCGAGGAGUAAGGAGGAUCAUGAGAAACACUUGAGGAUUGUUCUUAGGGAGGAUCAUGAGAAACACUUGAGGAUUAUUCUUGGUUUGUUGAGAGACAGGGAGAUGAAUGCCAAGUUCUCCAAGUGUCAGUUUUGGCUUGAGUCUGUAUCUUUCUUAGGUCAUGUGGUAUUAAACGAAGGGAUUAUGGUUGAUCCUAAGAAUAUUAAGGUAGUGAGAGACUGAGCUAGGCCCACUUCAGUGACAAAGAUUCGUAGCUUCGUGGGUCUGGCCAGUUACUACCGUCGGUUCAUGAGGCUUUUGCUUCUAUUGCUUCGCAUUUAACCCAUUUGGCUUAGAAAGUACUACCUUUCCAGUGGGCUGACGAGUGUGAGGAGAACUUUCAAAAGCUCAAGACUUUAUUGACUUUAGCUCUAAUUCUAGCAUUGACCGUGGAGGGCAAGAAUUUUAUGGCAUAUUCUGAUGCUUCUCGUUCUGGGUUAGGUGUCGUGUUGAUGCAGGAAAAAAAGUUGUUGCUUAUGCUUUCAGGCAGCUGAAGAUUCAUGAGAAUAACUACCGUACUCACGAGUUAGAGUUGCCCACUGUGGUAUUUGCUUUGAAUAUUUGGAGACACUAUCUCUAUGGUGUCCAUUGCGAGGUAUUCACCGACCAUCGCAGCCUUCACCAUGUGUUUACUUAAAGGAAUCUUAAUUCUAGGCAGCGGAGAUUGAUGGAGUUUCUUAAGGAUUAUGACAUUACCAUCUUAUAUCAUCCGGGCAAGGAAAACGUGGUAGCGGAUGUCUUGAGUAGGAAGUCAGUGAGUACGGGUAGUUUGGCUCGAUUGAUCGCCUCCGAGCAUCCUUUAGCCAUGGAGGUUCAGACUCUAGCUAACAGUUUUGUGAAGCUUGACAUCUCAGAUUCGAGUAGAGUGUUGACUUAUGUUGAGGCGAGAUCGUUGCUUCUGGAUUAGAUUAAGGCAAAACAGUUUGAGGAUGAAAAGUUGUGCAAGAUUCGUGAUAAGGUCUUGAGUGGUGAGGCCAUGAUUGAUAGUGAGGGAGUCUUGAAGAUCAAGGGACUUGUUUGCGUUCCUCGUGUUGUGGAAUUGAUAGGGACGAUUUUGGAGGAGUCCCACAGUUCUAGAUAUCCUAUUCAUCCUGGUGCUACCAAGAUGUACCGUGGUUUGAGACAACACUACUGGUGGGUCAGAUGGAGAGAGAUAUUUCCAAUUUUGUUACUAAGUGUGGGAAUUGUCAACAAGUCAAGUAUGGGCAUCAGUGGCCUGGUGGUAUGCUUCAGAGGAUGCCCAUUCCCGAGUAUAAGUGGGAGAGGAUUGUCAUGGAUUCCAUUAUAGGUCUUCCGAAGACCCUGGGCAAGUUGAUUCAGUUUGGGUUAUUGUUGAUCGGUUGAUAAUUCUGCUCAUUUCAUCUCCAUUCAGGUUACCUGCUCCGCAGAGAAGUUGGCCCAGAUCUAUAUCUGCGAGGUUGUUCGUUUGCACGGGAUCCCUAUUUCAAUCAUCUCUAAUAGAGGCCUUCAAUUUAGGUCCCGUUUUUAGAGGACUUUAUAGGCCGGGUUAGGUACUCGAUUGGAUCUCUGUAUAGCUAUUCGCCCUCAGACGAAUGGUCAGUCUGAGCGAACGAUUCAGUUCCUUGAGGAUAUGCUCCGAGCGUGUGUGAUCGACUUUGGUGGUCAUUGGGACCAGUUCUUGCCUUUGGCAGAGUUUGCAUACAACAACAAUUACCAUUCGAGCAUUGAUAUGGCUCUAUUUGAGGCUCUUUGUGGGAGAAAAUGUCGAUCUCUUAUUGGUUGAUUUGAUGCCUUUGAGGUGAGGUCAUGGGGUACCGAUUUUGUGAAAGAAUCAUUGGAUAAGGUCAAGGUGAUUCAAGAUAAGCUUUUAGCAGCUCAGAGUAGAUAGACCAGAAGGUCCGAGAUCUUGAGUUCAUGAUUGGGGAGCAGGUUCUGUUGAAGGUCUCAUCGAUGAAAGUUGUGAUGAGGUUUGGGAAGAAGGGCAAACUCAGUCCUUGGUUCAUUGGUCCAUUUUAGAUUCUUGACCGUGUGAAGGAGGUAGCUUAUGAGUUUGGCUUUACCUCCAGGUUUGUCGGGUGUUCACCCCGUGUUUCAUAUGUCUAUGUCGAAGAAAUAUUAUUCGGAUGGUUUUUACAUCAUUCGUUGGGAUUCGGUCCUGCUUGAUAAGAAUUUGUAUUAUGAGGAGGAGUCUAUUCCCAUUUUGGAUAUAGAGGUUCCAAAGUUGAGGUCAAAGGAAAUAGCUUCAGUGAAGGUCCAGUGGAAGCAUCGCCCAGUCGAGGAGGCUACUUGAGAGAACGAGUCUGAUAUGCACAAUAGAUAUCCCCAGAUUUUCACUCAGUCAGAUUCCUUUCCGGAGUCGUCUUCUAGACCUCGCAUCUAGCCUGAGGCUUCUUCCUGACCAGAUCCGAGGAUGGUGAGGAUUCGUGCUAGGGCAGCCGUUAAUGAGGCACCCGAGAUGGCAACCGGGGCCGCAACUCAUGGUAGAGGCCAUGUCAGAGGCCGUGGACGCGGUAGAGGCCGGGGAGCAGCACUAGCCAAGGGCAGGGCUCCUGCGGCUGGUCAGGCUGGUGCUAGAUCAGUUUUCCCCGCGCCUCCGACAGUUUCGGAUGAGGGGGCAGAGUUUGCAGCGGCACCAGCUCAGCCAGAUUUAAAAUGGAAUCAAGUAACACGAAGAAAAGAAAAGUGAUUGAAAUUGGUUGAAACCCUAACUGAUGAUUUACCCAUAAUAAAUCUCUGCAACAAGUGAUUGAAAAAUAGUAUAUAGUCUGAGUGUUUGCAGAUUGAUCUCAAAUUGCUCAUAAUUUUCAUAUUUUUGAUUGUUAUUUUCACACAAGAGACUCGUUUUUCUUAUUUCGAAUUUUAUGUCAUUAAUGGAGUAGAAAUUGGAAGAAGAUUUAUGAAGUGAUAGAGAAAUGAAUCUUUUUGUGAAUCUAAUUUUAUUUUUAAUUUUCAUUUUUAUUCCUUUUUUUUUUUUUAAAAUAAGAAAGAAAAGAAAAACUUCCUUCUAAUUUUGUGGACGGUUUAUUUGUACCCUCUACCUUUACAUUUAUUUUGUUCCUUUUUUGUGCUCUUUCUUUCUUAUUUUCUGUUUUAUUAUUUGCCCGCUUUUUAUAUAAAUCCAUAUUGUUUAUGCUAAUUUCUUCAUUUGUAUAAGGACAUUUAUAUUCUGUCUGGACAAACUUUUGAGAGGUCAAGAAUUUAAAAAAAAAAUGAGGUGUUUGGUCAAAUUUUGAAGAGAAAUUAAGUGCUUAUUCAAUCAAAGAUCCCACGUCUCUAUUCUUCUCGAAGCAUGGUGCCAUGAUUGCAGCAUCAAGGAUUUCAAUCAUCAAGGGACAGUGGCGGAUCCAGGAUUUUCAUUCAGAGUGCUCGAAAAAAAAAAAAUUAAAUAUACACUGUAAUUUUUUGCGAGGGUGUUCAAAAGUUAAUAUAUGCACAUAAACACAGAAAAUUUACCCUAUAUAUAUAAUGUAAUUUUUUGUGAAUCCGCCCCCAAGUAGAUCCGCCCCUGUCGAGGGGUUGAAUUAGGGCUCCAGAUUGAAACCUAACUGUUGAUUUACCCAAUAAGUCUCUGCUACAAGAAGUGAUUGAGAAAUACACAGCUUGAGGUCUAAAAGUUGAUCUCAAAUUGCUCAUAAUUCUUGAUUUUUUGGUUGUUAAUUUUAUACUGUUUUUCUUCUAGAGUAUUUUGAGUUAAUGGAGUAGGAACUGGAAGAAGAUUGAUGAAGUGAUAGAGAAAGGAAUCUUUUGUGAAUCCAAUUUAAUUUAAUUUUCAUUUUUGUUCUUUCCUUUUUAAAAGAAACUUCCCUUAUAAAUUUUGUGGUCGGUUUAUUUCGUUACAAUUGAUGGGAAAAUUAACUAAUGACUGUUGUACCCUCCACCUUUACAUUUAUUUUGUACUUUUUUUUCCUUCUUAUUUUCUGUUUUUUUUUUUCGGUUUUAUUUGCUUUCUUCUUCCACAACUCCAUAUUAUUUUUGGCAAUUUCUUCUUUAUUAUUUUUAAAAUCCUCUAACCUUUAUAGAAAGAAAAAUUAAAUCACAAUUUGCGAAGUGUGUAUGAUUUUUCGUUUUUCACAAAUUGCGAAGUGUGUAUGAUUUUUCGUUUUUCACAAAGUGCGAAGUGUGUAUGAAAAAUUAACUGCUUCAAAAGUAAUUUUAUACAACAUCGACAUCACUAAAACAUAAAUUAUUCUUUGUGAAUUCAAAAGGGAAAGAGUUUUAGCAUUCAAUAAUGAUGAUUAUACAUUGGCUUACAAUUCAAAUAUGGAAUUCUCAUAGUGCACUGUCCUCCUAGGUACACAAUGCUACUAAUCAGAACCAAUACGACACUGGCUAACGAUGGAUAAUCAUAUUUAUACUUAUUAGAAGUAAUGAUAAAGAUAUCUUGAUAU